rnacentral:rRNA from 1 species
UGCUGGGGGAUUAGUGGCGAACGGGUGAGUAACACGUGAGUAACCUGCCCUUGACUCUGGGAUAAGCCUGGGAAACUGGGUCUAAUACCGGAUAUGACUCCUCAUCGCAUGGUGGGGGGUGGAAAGCUUUUGUGGUUUUGGAUGGACUCGCGGCCUAUCAGCUUGUUGGUGGGGUAAUGGCCUACCAAGGCGACGACGGGUAGCCGGCCUGAGAGGGUGACCGGCCACACUGGGACUGAGACACGGCCCAGACUCCUACGGGAGGCAGCAGUGGGGAAUAUUGCACAAUGGGCGCAAGCCUGAUGCAGCGACGCCGCGUGAGGGAUGACGGCCUUCGGGUUGUAAACCUCUUUCAGUAGGGAAGAAGCGUAAGUGACGGUACCUGCAGAAGAAGCGCCGGCUAACUACGUGCCAGCAGCCGCGGUAAUACGUAGGGCGCAAGCGUUAUCCGGAAUUAUUGGGCGUAAAGAGCUCGUAGGCGGUUUGUCGCGUCUGCUGUGAAAGACCGGGGCUCAACUCCGGUUCUGCAGUGGGUACGGGCAGACUAGAGUGCAGUAGGGGAGACUGGAAUUCCUGGUGUAGCGGUGAAAUGCGCAGAUAUCAGGAGGAACACCGAUGGCGAAGGCAGGUCUCUGGGCUGUAACUGACGCUGAGGAGCGAAAGCAUGGGGAGCGAACAGGAUUAGAUACCCUGGUAGUCCAUGCCGUAAACGUUGGGCACUAGGUGUGGGGGACAUUCCACGUUUUCCGCGCCGUAGCUAACGCAUUAAGUGCCCCGCCUGGGGAGUACGGCCGCAAGGCUAAAACUCAAAGGAAUUGACGGGGGCCCGCACAAGCGGCGGAGCAUGCGGAUUAAUUCGAUGCAACGCGAAGAACCUUACCAAGGCUUGACAUGAACCGGUAAUACCUGGAAACAGGUGCCCCGCUUGCGGUCGGUUUACAGGUGGUGCAUGGUUGUCGUCAGCUCGUGUCGUGAGAUGUUGGGUUAAGUCCCGCAACGAGCGCAACCCUCGUUCUAUGUUGCCAGCGGUUCGGCCGGGGACUCAUAGGAGACUGCCGGGGUCAACUCGGAGGAAGGUGGGGACGACGUCAAAUCAUCAUGCCCCUUAUGUCUUGGGCUUCACGCAUGCUACAAUGGCCGGUACAAAGGGUUGCGAUACUGUGAGGUGGAGCUAAUCCCAAAAAGCCGGUCUCAGUUCGGAUUGGGGUCUGCAACUCGACCCCAUGAAGUCGGAGUCGCUAGUAAUCGCAGAUCAGCAACGCUGCGGUGAAUACGUUCCCGGGCCUUGUACACACCGCCCGUCAAGUCACGAAAGUUGGUAACACCCGAAGCC